UACAGAGGGUGCAAGCGUUAAUCGGAAUUACUUGGCGUAAAGGGCGCGUAGGUGGUUUAUUAAGUUGGAUGUGAAAUCCCUGGGCUUAACCUAGGAACUGCAUCCAAGACUGGUAGGCUAGAGUAUGGUAGAGGGUGGUGGAAUUUCCGGUGUAGCGGUGAAAUGCGUAGAUAUCGGAAGGAACAUCAGUGGCGAAGGCGGCCACCUGGACUAAUACUGACACUGAGGCGCGAAAGCGUGGGGAGCAAACAGG
rnacentral:rRNA from 1 species